GGUCCCAUCGUCUAAGGGUUAGGACACCACCCUUUCAAGGUGAGAAUCGGGGUUCGAAUCCCCGUGGGACUGCCA
rnacentral:tRNA from 1 species